rnacentral:rRNA from 1 species
GCGACGCCGCGUGAGGGAAGAAGGCCUUCGGGUUGUAAACCUCUUCAGCAGGGACGAAGCUACUCGGGUGAACAGCCCAGAGGGUGACGGUACCUGUAGAAGAAGCCCCGGCUAACUACGUGCCAGCAGCCGCGGUAAUACGUAGGGGGCAAGCGUUGUCCGGAUUUACUGGGCGUAAAGAGCGUGUAGGCGGCCAGGCAGGUCUGUUGUGAAAACUGGAGGCUCAACUUCCAGACGUCGACAGAAACCGCUUGGCUAGAGUCCGGAAGAGGAGAGUGGAAUUCCUGGUGUAGCGGUGAAAUGCGCAGAUAUCAGGAAGAACACCAAUGGCGAAGGCAGCUCUCUGGGACGGUACUGACGCUGAGACGCGGAAGCGUGGGGAGCGAACAGGAUUAGAUACCCUGGUAGUCCACGCCGUAAACGAUGGGUGCUAGGUGUGGGAGGUGUCGACUCCUUCCGUGCCGCAGCUAACGCAUUAAGCACCCCGCCUGGGGAGUACGGCCGCAAGGCUA